GGUGGCUCAGUGGUAGAGCACUUGCCUUGCAUGCAUGACGCCCUGGGUUCAAUUCCUCAGCACCA
rfam:Dipodomys ordii contig_33867, whole genome shotgun sequence.